CAUGACAUAAUAUGCAACAAACUAUAUAAUGUUGUUCUAUACAUCAUAAAUAUACCAACGUACACUUGUUAACCAUAAAAAUUAGUAUUAUUUUCGUAUCUAUCAUUAAAACUUCUGAUAAAAAAAAACAUUCGCAAAAUACAUUUUAAAAAAAAUAGAAUGAGUUAUCAAAGUAUAGUAAAAAUUGAAUCGAUUAAUUAUAUCGAUACUUCAGUGGAAUUCCCCCGAUUAUUUCGAAGUAGCUGCUAACGCCACAUCCACGAAAUUUUAUACGUUUAUUUUUUCUUACAAUACCAGUGAAAGUAAAAAGAAGGGGAUCUGAUUCUCGUUAAUUUUUUGAUUCGAAUAUUUUCUGUUUUAUUUAGAAAAUAGAAAUAACAAUUUGGAACUAUGGACGAUCCAUCAAAUCUUGUUCCUCGGGAAGGACCUCAAGUUGCACACUAUUUGAUGGAUCUCUUUCUUUAUUUACAAAGAGCAACAGGAUUUCGUUCUGAUCAUUUUCGUGCUCCCCAUGAUUUACAAGAAACAUUGGAUUUAAUGGAAUUUUAUAAAAUGCCUCGAGAAAUAUGGAAUGCUAUAUUAAACUUAGCUAUGAAUCUAGUUGCUGAAUUACCUCGUAUGGAAAAUGUCGAUCAACUUAUUUCUUAUCUUAUUAAUAUAGCUAUCACAUUGACUCGUUAUUUGUUGAAAUAUUUCUUUUUGCGAGUCACAUUAUUUAUACUUGCUGGUGUUGAAUCUGCAGCGUUAUCAGCAAUUAUUAUAUGUAUUUAUCAUUUUGUCACUUGGGCAAUUAUACCAGUAAUGAAUUACAUCAGACCUAAACUUGAAGAAUAUGCAAAGUUCACUCUGGAAAAGUUAAAAGAGUUUUUUGUUCCUCAAUAUAAUUCAAUUUUAUUAAAUUAAAACUAUAUUUUUUUAAAUAUUGCGAUCGAAUUGAAAUUUUCAUUUACGUUUUUUUAGUCUCAUAAUUAAUCAUGUUAUAAAAAAAAGUAUAAAAAUAUAAUCACAUUUUAGCUGAUACUGCAAUACUAAUAAAUGGCGCUUAUCAAUACCACGUAAUUGUCAGAGAUGAUUACUGAGAUACCUGAUAGACUCGUCUAUUGUAAUAAAUAUUCGAUUCACAGAUAUAAUGAAAUAAAUAAAGGUAAACAGUACGCAAUUACGCGAAAUUGAAAAAAGGUUUCAUUAGGGAUGUGCGAAUAAUUCAAAUUUAAAAAUCAUUCGUAUCGAAUCGGAUAGAAAUAUUCAAUUCGAAAUUCGAAUCGAAUGAUUUCAAUUUAUAAAUAAUUCAAAAGUAGACAAAUACUUGCGGAUAGUUUGAAAACUAACGAACAAUUUGAAUUACUCGAUUUAAAUUUCAAAUCGAACAGUGUAAUAUUUAAAUCGAACACUAUUUGUACACCCUCAGUUUUUUAUCAAUUAAAAUUAUUACCACAAACUGUCAUUUAAAAAGUCUGCAAACAGGUUUCAUUUUAUGUUAGCAGUCGUUUUUUUUUUUUUUUUUAAAGCUCGGCCGUA